GAUGAACGCUGGCGGCGUGCCUAAUACAUGCAAGUCGAGCGAACGGACGAGAAGCUUGCUUCUCUGAUGUUAGCGGCGGACGGGUGAGUAACACGUGGAUAACCUACCUAUAAGACUGGGAUAACUUCGGGAAACCGGAGCUAAUACCGGAUGAUAUUUUGAACCGCAUGGUUCAAAAGUGAAAGACGGUCUUGCUGUCACUUAUAGAUGGAUCCGCGCUGCAUUAGCUAGUUGGUAAGGUAACGGCUUACCAAGGCAACGAUGCAUAGCCGACCUGAGAGGGUGAACGGCCACACUGGAACUGAGACACGGUCCAGACUCCUACGGGAGGCAGCAGUAGGGAAGCUUCCGCAAUGGGCGAAAGCCUGACGGAGCAACGCCGCGUGAGUGAUGAAGGUCUUCGGAUCGUAAAACUCUGUUAUUAGGGAUGAACAUAUGUGUAAGUAACUGUGCACAUCUUGACGGUACCUAAUCAGAAAGCCACGGCUAACUACGUG
rnacentral:rRNA from 1 species